UACGUAGGGUGCGAGCGUUGUCCGGAAUUAUUGGGCGUAAAGAGCUCGUAGGCGGUCUGUCGCGUCUGCUGUGAAAACUCGGGGCUUAACCCUGAGCUUGCAGUGGGUACGGGCAGACUAGAGUGCGGUAGGGGAGACUGGAAUUCCUGGUGUAGCGGUGAAAUGCGCAGAUAUCAGGAGGAACACCGGUGGCGAAGGCGGGUCUCUGGGCCGUAACUGACGCUGAGGAGCGAAAGCAUGGGGAGCGAACAGG
rnacentral:rRNA from 1 species